UAAGACACUCCAAAUUAUUCAUUACCGAAAGUGUAGAAACUACAUUCCAAAUUCACCUAAUCUGCUACAAACGUAGACAAGAGUGAUAGAAAAGGGACAAAUCUGAUUUUUUUUUAAAUUGAAAUUACAGAUAUUUUAAAAGAAAGGUUGGCACUUUUGAUACAGUCCCAUAUGUAAAACAUAUCUGCGGAUAAAUCGAGAAUCAAACAUCGAACACCCCUCAAAACCUAUCCAGGUGACGCUAUCGAAAAUCAUCUGAACAUGAAAUGAAACUAUCCAACUACGACAAAAAAAAAAGAAGAAGGAUAAUUCGAGAUUAGAACCUGAGAUGAUCGAUAAACCAGUGGAGAGCACACGCGCCUGAGAGUUACGCUUUGCCCAAUUGACCCAAAGAAAAGCGAGGUUGAGGUUGCCCUUGGUGACAGAAAAGAAAAUGUCAAAUUGGAACUUGGAAGGUGGAGAUUCUAGUAUGAAACAGCUACCUCCAUGGAUUAGAAUGAAUCUGACUUGAGGAACAAAAGGGAGAGAUGAGACAGGAGUGGAAGCAAAGACUGAUGAUGUCUCAAAAGGAGCAGUAAAACUUUCUGAUGACAAGCAAGACACAGCCGUUGGAAAUGACUAUAAUAAUCAAUGCUUAGAAGGGGCUCCUGGUACAGGUCCGGUUUGAGUUUACUAUUACAUCAGUUUCAAUUGGCUACCUAGUCGUUCUUAUUACAUUAAUUUAGUUAGAAGGGACUUAAACAGAGCGUUUUAAUCUUUCUCAAAAAUACAGAAAAGGAGAGUUUUCUUUGAAUAUGCAGAUCUUCUACAAGAAGACACUUGUUAAGACAUGCUUAUAUUUAAAGACUUUGGACUUCAUAGAAUCAUAGGACGACCAAAACUUUAGAAAAAGGCCAAGUAAAAAGUUCAACACAAUAUCAGUAUCUACAGUAGGCAUAUAAUAUAAUUUGAAAACUUCAUCAACAUCAAGUCAUCAAACAUUAAAAGAGUUGGAAUAAAAAAAAGAACCAAACAAACACAAAAUGUCAAUUAUAAAACCAAAUUAUAGAUAAGUUUCAGGGCAUCUGCUAUUAAGAGAUUGAAGAAACCUCUUCUGCAGAUACCAUAAGGUUUACAUUAUACUACCACUCUCCAUUUAUUUCCUCUGAACCAGUAAUCUCUAAACCGAUAUAGUUAAUAUAUAAUGUGUUUGGAGGGGAUUAUUAGAAAACAUCGGUCA